GGUUAAGCGACUAAGCGUACACGGUGGAUGCCCUGGCAGUCAGAGGCGAUGAAGGACGUGCUAAUCUGCGAUAAGCGUCGGUAAGGUGAUAUGAACCGUUAUAACCGGCGAUUUCCGAAUGGGGAAACCCAGUGUGUUUCGACACACUAUCAUU
rnacentral:rRNA from 1 species